GUCUCCUACAGGUUGAUAUGGACUAAAGAGCUGAGUCUCCUACAGGUUUAUAUGGAAUAAAGAGCUGAGUCUCCUACAGGUGUAUAUGGACUAAAGAGCUGAGUCUCCUACAGGUUUAUAAAGGACUAAAGAGCUGGGUCUCCUACAGGUUUAUAAAGGACUAAAGAGCUGAGUCUCCUACAGGUUUAUAUGGACUAAAGAGCUGAGUCUCCUACAGGUUUAUAAAGGACUAAAGAGCUGAGUCUCCUACAGGUUUAUAUGGACUAAAGAGCUGGGUCUCCUACAGGUUUAUAUGGACUAAAGAGCUGAGUCUCCUACAGGUUUAUAUGAACUAAAGAGCUGGGUCUCCUACAGGUUUAUAUGGACUAAAGAGCUGGGUCUCCUACAGGUUUAUAAAGGACCAAAGAGCUAAGUCUCCUACAGGUUUAUAAAGGACUAAAGAGCUGAGUCUCCUACAAGCUUAUAAAGGACUAAAGAGCUGGGUCUCCUACAGGUUUAUAUGAACU